rnacentral:rRNA from 1 species
UGAGUAACACGUAUCCAACCUGCCGUCUACUCUUGGCCAGCCCUCUGAAAGGAAGAUUAAUCCAGGAUGGCAUCAUGAGUUCACAUGUCCGCAUGAUUAAAGGUAUUUUCCGGUAGACGAUGGGGAUGCGUUCCAUUAGAUAGUAGGCGGGGUAACGGCCCACCUAGUCUACGAUGGAUAGGGGUUCUGAGAGGAAGGUCCCCCACAUUGGAACUGAGACACGGUCCAA